AUUUCGGCAGCAGAGGGAGCUGUGAGACACUGAGGACCACAGAAAAUUCUGCGUUUACGGCCACCAGAAGAAAAAGAAUCGAGAAGAGCCAACCAUGAGAACAGAGGAGUAAAUUUUGUGAGAUUCUAGUGCGGUUCUGUGUGAAGUAUUCAGCCCCUUUUGAAGAUUCUCUUGGCUUCAACCCCUUCAUACACGAUAUGUCAAAUUGGGACCCUCCAAAAUAAGACUCUCCAGUUUAACAGCUAGCUUUGUGCACAGAUAUGCACAAAGAGAACACCUGCAUAUGCUGAUACUUACUCAGACAACACAAAAUGAAUAAAAUGUCACGUAGGCACUGGUAACAGCUGGAACAAUCAACACACAGGUAAAGGUCAGCUGAUGCUAGUGUGUUGAUUUAUCAACUGACUGCCCUGUAGUAACACAGAAAUGUUGGAAAGCACAAAGAUUCCUGAUUUACCUACAGAUGAUGGUGAUAUAGCUGAAUGCAUAGAUCUUGCUACAAGAUCUGAGCAAGUCUUCACCCCACAUAUAGCACUCUGAAGGAUUGCCUCCUAAGACUGCAUUCCACCACUGUCUUAGCAAUCAGGACUAGAUGAAGGAGGGAAAAGGUGUUAAGUGGAAUUUGUAUUUAGCAAAUCUUAAAAUUAAGCAUAUACCCGUUGCUGAACUGGCCAUGGUUUGGUGAUGGCCGAUAAAUCACAUGCGGUCAUCAGCAUUGCU